AGCCUGUUUCCUCUUUUUAUGCCCAGAAUCAACGGUUUCACUAUUCAUCGGGUGGAGCUUAGAAAAAGAGUUCAGAAUGAGUUCAGAAACAGUUCUCAGCUCUUAUGUUGCUCUAUAUGUCAAUGUGUGUAUGAUCUCCUCCAGUCAUAAUGAUGUUAUUUUACCUUACAGUAUCUGCAAUUCUUUCAGAAAGUGUUUUUGCAAAUCCAAUAACAUCAAUCUCUACUGAAAAGCAUGUUUUAGAAGGAGAAAAAGUUACUCUUUCCUGCAGCUACAGUGAAAGUAAUAUAAGGAGUCUUCAGUGGUACAGACAGUAUUCCAACACUGCCCCAGAAUUUCUCCUAAUGACUUUUGAGAAUGCGGAUCCAGCACAGAAGGACCGACUUGCUGCUGAAGCUCAUAAGGACAAGAAACAACUUAACCUGGAGAUCUCUAAAACUGAAGUGGCAGAUACUGCAAUAUACUACUGUGCCCUGGUGCCCACAGUAACAGGAAACCCUUCUACACUGUACAAAAACUUGACACUCUUUACAUUAGAAAAAUAUCUGAACAAGACCUUCUCUCCUGUAACCUUUCUAAAGGUUUGAUUUGUGUUGUAAUAGUAUAUCAAUGGUAUGUGUAAUAGUAUCAGUCACAAUUUGAACUGUUGUGGCUCAAAAGCAGUACUGAAUUAACCUAUCUGUAAGCAAGAAUCCUGUAAGCGUCCUUAGAUUUGCAGGAUUUUUUAAAAGAACGCUU